ACAUUUGGGUUGUUUCCAAAAUUUUCCUAUAAUAAAGCAACACCACAGUGAACACCCUUGACUAUAUAUCUUGGUGUAAUUGAUCUCGAUCCAUCAUUUUAUAGAUAAAUCUAUAGAGACCCAGAGAGGUUAUGAAAUUUAUCUGAGAGGCAGAGCUUGGACCAGAUUUCAGGGCGUUUGGUUCCCUGAGUAGCUUUUUUGCUGUUACAUCAGUGGAAGCCACUGAACUUGUUUGGUGGCUGUGGCUAUGCUCUCCUAUGGAAAGGGAAGACUUUGUGGCCUGUGCUGGAAGUCGUCCAGCAACAGAGCUAAGCUACGCCUAGAAAAAGAAAGCAAGUUACCAACCAACCCAUAAGGUGAUUUUAUUUUUUAUGCUUUUACGCUGUUGGUACAAUUCUUUUUCUGUAAGACCUUUCUUCCUUCUGUAACACUGCAUUCCCUUCGUUUCUUUCCUUCUUCUCUGACCUUCGUUCUUUCCUUCCUUCCCUCCCUCCCUCUUUCCCUUCCUCUCUUCCUUUCUUCUUUUUUUUCCUGCCCCCCAUCUAUGAAUUGUCAGUAUUCCUCGAGUUUCUAUCUUCACGUUUCUGGUGUCUUUUCCUAUUUUAAUGGCUUCACCUGCCACUUCCAGGCAAAUGACUCCCAAAUUGGAACCUCCCCUCAUGAUGUCUCCCCCAUCGACCACUUCCACGCAUCCUACCGACUGUAGGUAGCCCUUUGCAUUCCUGGAACCCUUACUUGCAACGAAAGCCACCCACUUCCUCAGGCUGGACCCUUGAGCUGUCUGAUUCCUCCCUCGCUUUCGUCUGAUCUCCCACAUCGGGCCGAGUCCACUCAGUUCUCUUUCUGGCGCUUGGCCUCCCUCUGCCUUCCCACUACCCCUGCCCUCAUUCUGACGCACAUGGCCUCCUGCCUGGACUAUGCCCCUGGACUUUGACCUGGUCCCUCUGCCUCUCUUCUCUCUCUGGCCAAUUCAUCUUGCUGGGCUUGGCGAAUUAAUCUUCUGAGCUCCCUGCUCUGACCCACACUAUCUACUGAAUAGAUUCCAAACCUGUUAGCUUGGCCUUCAAGACUUUUUGACCCUAAACUACCUUCUUAGUCUCAUCUACCCUCUUUCUCUAGUAUAGCCAUUGUGUUUCAGCCCAACUGGACUCCUUGUUAACACACCCAGCUCGUACCUGGCUCGGAGCCUUGAUCAGACCAGUUCCUUAAGGCCCUUUGAGAUCUGAAAACAUGAAUGCCACCUCUUCCAUGAAGCCUUCCCUGGUUCCUUAAGCCAAAGGUGAUCUUGUCCUUCUUUGGUUGACCACAGCCCUUUGCUGACAGUAAUAAGCAGCCACUGAGCCAUCAUUGUACAUGUUAUGUCCCACUUAGGUUUUUACCUCCUCAUGGGUAAGAACAUGUAUCUUUCUCAAACCCCUGCAAACUCCUUCUGAGACCCUUUUCCUGUAAAGUAGUGUCUCUAUACUAGAUCCUCAGAAAGUAUUUGUGGAGAAAAUGAAUUGAAAGCAACUGAGAUUUAAGAACGUUUACCUAAAUUUAUCAGAAAUACAACUGCAGUAUAAAAGCACAUUUUAAAGUCUUACUGUUCUUAAAGCAAAAUAAACUUUAUAUGUAUUCAUAAUAGUUGCUGCUUAUCAAAUUUUCUUGCUCCAUGUUCUGGCAACACAUAUGAAUGGGAUUCAAAAAUAUCUGGUCAGAAUGUCAAUAGAGUUGCCUGGAAAGAUAGACUUUUGUAAGUGAGAACCUUUUUCUCUGUCCUUAAAAUAUACUCUGGCCCUUUCCUUCUAACAGAAAGGUCAUAGGAUUGGAGUCAGAAUAUUUGACUUCUGUUACUUAUAAACUACGUGACCCUGAGCAACUUUUCUCAUUUGUAACAUGGUGAUGCUCGCUCUGUUACUUAAGAAUUGCAUUUGGCUAUUGGUAACAGAUAUUUGAUAUGGUGGCUUAUAAAAAUAAAGGUUUAUUUUUCUUUCUUGUAGAUAAAGUCUAUAGAUAGUCCAUGCGCUAUAGCUGUUGAUGACCCCAGCUUCUACUCUGUUUUCCCUCUUGGUGUGUGGUUUUCAUCUUCAAGUUAGCCUCAGAGACCAAAAUGACUGCUGGAGCCCCAGCUGUCAUGUCAACAUUCCCAGCACGAAGAAGGAAGGGCCCAAGGCCACCUCCUUCUAGCUGAUUAAGCUCUCUUUAAAUAGUUUAAAAUAAAUAAAUAGUUUAAAUAGCUUAAAAGAGGUUUUCCAGAAGUUAUACCUAACAGGUUUGGUUUGGAGCUGGUAUAGUGCUUCUUCACUACAGAUGCAUGUUUGAAACACAUGAUGACUUUUUAAAAAAUACCUAUGCUAGGGCCUCACUGCAAAUACAUUAAAAAGACUCUAGGACUCAGUAUUUUAAAAUAAUCUCAGUGAUCCAUUUCAUAGCUGAGGGUGAGAAUCAUUGAGCUAGGGUGGUUGAUAAUCCAGAUGGAAUCUCUUGAGAGUGAAAGAGGGACAGGUGGUUUAAACCAAGCCUAUCCUGGGUAUCCAGAGGUACAGUGACCCAAAUUAUUUAUCCUCUGUGCCUAUCUGUCAGGUGGCUGGGCACGUGGUUUUUUACUGCUCUGGAAGGACAAGAUAGAAAGGGAGAGACGCUAUUGAUUAAAGGUGCUCAGGGUUCCCUUCUGUUCCUACUCAAGUUUGGGGGCAAGAUUAAAUGAGAUAAGUGUACAUAAAAUCACUUUGUAAAUUGCAGUGGUUCAAAGAUUUUUUUUUUUUUUAAUUUUUAGGGCCCCACUUGCAGUAUAUGGAACUUCCCAGGCUAGGGGCUGAAUUAGAGCUACAGCUGCCAGCCUAUGCCACAGCCACAACAAGGGAUCCAAGCCAUGUCUGCAACGUACACCACAGCUCAUGGCACAACACCAGAUUCUUAACUCACUGAGCGGGGCUAGGGAUCGAACUGGCAUUCUCAUGGAUACUAGUUGGGUUCAUUACCUGCUGAGCCACAACGAGAACUCCCAAAGAUGUGUUUAUAAAUAAAAUGAUCAUAAUUUAGUACGAAUAAAUACACUUGAUGCCCAGAAAGAACACAAUUUGGAUUUGCCCAGCACAUGUUUGAUUAAUUUAGUGCCUUAAGGUCAUUUUCUUAGCUCACUGGCAGUCGGUGUCUCAUGGUGGUUUUAGAGUGUGGACUUUGGAGGCUGAUAAAAUCACUGUGGGUUCUUCCCGGGUUCUUCCCAGCUUCUUUCCAGCCUUGUCAUUUGACUUUUUCCCAGCCUUGUCAUUUGACUUCUCUAAACCUCUUCAAAGUCUCCAGGAUAUUACUUAGCUCAAAGGGUUGUUACAAGGAUUAAAGAAGCUAACACAGGGAAAGGAUUCAAUGUGGGACGUGGCUUAUCGUAAACGUUCAAUAAUUGGCCAUUCUUUACUCUUCAUAAGAUUACUAUGGGG
rnacentral:lncRNA from 1 species